rnacentral:rRNA from 1 species
GACGAACGCUGGCGGCGUGCCUAAUACAUGCAAGUUGAGCGAUGAAGAUUGGUGCUUGCACCAAUUUGAAGAGCAGCGAACGGGUGAGUAACGCGUGGGGAAUCUGCCUUUGAGCGGGGGACAACAUUGGGAAACGAAUGCUAAUACCGCAUAACAACUUUAAAAAUAAGUUUUAGGUUUGAAAGAGGCAAUUGAAUCACUAAAAGAUGAUCCCGCGUUGUAUUAGCUAGUUGGUGAGGUAAAGGCUAACCAAGGCGAUGAUACAUAGCCGACCUGAGAGGGUGAUCGGCCACAUUGGGACUGAGACACGGCCCAAACUCCUACGGGAGGCAGCAGUAGGGAAUCUUCGGCAAUGGACGAAAGUCUGGCCGAGCAACGCCGCGUGAGUGAAGAAGGUUUUCGGAUCGUAAAACUCUGUUGGUAGAGAAGAACGUUGGUGAGAGUGGAAAGCUCAUCAAGUGACGGUAACUACACAGAAAGGGACGGCUAACUACGUG